GCACCCGUAGUUUAAAGGAUAGAAUAACGGAUUCCGGUUCCGUUGGUCACGGUUCGAUUCCGUGCGGGUGUACUA
rnacentral:tRNA from 1 species